rnacentral:lncRNA from 1 species
UUCAUUGACUGCCUUCCACUUGUCCAAAUGGGAUUGAAAUUUGACAUGCUUACCAUGCUAUGUGUUAGGUUUGAUCAUGAUUUAUUUCGUGAUUUUUGGAAAAUGUUUAGAUUGCUUUUGAGUUAAGUCUUUCUGUUGACUUCUAUGAGCUUCUGUUUGCCAUGUUUUGACCUAAGUGGUUCAUGAAAUGAUGAUAGUGAUUGAUAUGGAUGUGAGCCCAAUUGGUUUUGUUUCCUAAUUGUUUGAACAUGAUUUGGAUACUUACCCUUGCUGUUUUUACUUUCUCAUUCACUUUUGACCCUAGGCUUGCCCUAGUGGUCCUGUUACUCACCUUUG